GACGUAGGGCGCGAGCGUUGUCCGGAUUUAUUGGGCGUAAAGAGCUCGUAGGCGGCUCGUUGCGUCGGCUGUGAAAACCCGCAGCUCAACUGUGGGCUUGCAGCUGAUACGGGCGGGCUGGGAUUCGGUAGGGGAGACUGGAAUUCCUGGUGUAGCGGUGAAAUGCGCAGAUAUCAGGAGGAACACCAGUGGCGAAGGCGGCUACCUGGACCGGAACUGACGCUGAUGCGCGAAAGCGUGGGUAGCAAACAGG
rnacentral:rRNA from 1 species